rnacentral:rRNA from 1 species
UACGGAGGGUGCAAACGUUGCUCGGAAUCAUUGGGCGUAAAGCGCACGUAGGCGUCCGGUAAGUCGGGGUGUGAAAGCCCUCGGCUCAACUGAGGAAGUGCAUUCGAAACUACCGGACUUGAGUAUGGAAGAGGGUCGCGGAAUUCCCGGUGUAGAGGUGAAAUUCGUAGAUAUCGGGAGGAACACCAGUGGCGAAAGCGGCUACCUGGACCAG